GACAGUAUGGUGUAGUGGUUAUCACGUCUGCCCCACACCCAGAAAGGCCCCCGUUUGAGCCCGGGGACUGUCA
rnacentral:tRNA from 1 species